rnacentral:rRNA from 1 species
GACGAACGCUGGCGGCGUGCCUAAUACAUGCAAGUCGAGCGGGUUUGUCCUUCGGGACAAGCUAGCGGCGGACGGGUGAGUAACACGUAGGCAACCUGCCUUUAAGACUGGGAUAACUAUCGGAAACGAUAGCUAAGACCGGAUAACUGGUUUUCUCGCAUGAGAGAAUUAUGAAACACGGAGCAAUCUGUGGCUUAAAGAUGGGCCUGCGGCGCAUUAGCUAGUUGGUAGGGUAACGGCCUACCAAGGCGACGAUGCGUAGCCGACCUGAGAGGGUGAACGGCCACACUGGGAAUGAGACACGGCCCAGACUCCUACGGGAGGCAGCAGUAGGGAAUCUUCCGCAAUGGACGCAAGUCUGACGGAGCAACGCCGCGUGAGUGAUGAAGGUUUUCGGGUCGUAAAGCUCUGUUGCCCUAGACGAACAGCAAGGCGAGUAACUGCGCUUUGUGUGACGGUAUAGGAGAAGAAAGCCCCGGCUAACUACGUGCCAGCAGCAGCCGCAGUAA